AUGGGUGAUGUUGAGAAAGGCAAGAAGGUUUUUGUUCAGAAGUCCGCCCAGUGUCACACCAUGGAAAAGGGAGGCAAAAGCGCAAGACUGGGCUAAUCUGGGUGGUCUCUUUGGGCGGAAGACAGGUCAGGCCGUUGGAUUCUCUUACACAGAUGCCCAUAAGAACAAAGCAUCACCUGGGGAAAAGGAUACACUGAUGGAGUAUUUGGAGAAUCUCCAAAAGUACAUUCCUGGAACAAAAAUGAUCUUUUCCGGCAUUAAGAAGAAGACAGAAAGGGCAGAGUUCAUAGCUUAUCUCAAAAAAAGCUACUAA
rnacentral:lncRNA from 1 species